rnacentral:snoRNA from 1 species
CUUUAUGAUGAACCCCUGAUAGGGACAUCUUAUGCCAAUGGCAAAAUGAUGUGAAUUUGGGCUCGGUAUUUUAGUAGAUGCUUCGAGUUUCUGAUC